GUUCGAACGAACUCUGGUAUUGAUUGGUGCUUGCAUCCAUGAUUUACAUUUGAGUUGAGUGGCGAACUUGGUGAGUAACACGUGGGAAACCUGCCCAGAAGCGGGGGAUAACACCUGGAAACAGAUGCUAAUACCGCAUAACAACUUGGACCGCAUGGUCCGAGUUUGAAAGAUGGCUUCGGCUAUCACUUUUGGAUGGUCCCGCGGCGUAUUAGCUAGAUGGUGGGGUAACGGCUCACCAUGGCAAUGAUACGUAGCCGACCUGAGAGGGUAAUCGGCCACAUUGGGACUGAGACACGGCCCAAACUCCUACGGGAGGCAGCAGUAGGGAAUCUUCCACAAUGGACGAAAGUCUGAUGGAGCAACGCCGCGUGAGUGAAGAAGGGUUUCGGCUCGUAAAACUCUGUUGUUAAAGAAGAACAUAUCUGAGAGUAACUGUUCAGGUAUUGACGGUAUUUAACCAGAAAGCCACGGCUAACUACGUGCCAGCAGCCGCGGUAAUACGUAGGUGGCAAGCGUUGUCCGGAUUUAUUGGGCGUAAAGCGAGCGCAGGCGGUUUUUUAAGUCUGAUGUGAAAGCCUUCGGCUCAACCGAAGAAGUGCAUCGGAAACUGGGAAACUUGAGUGCAGAAGAGGACAGUGGAACUCCAUGUGUAGCGGUGAAAUGCGUAGAUAUAUGGAAGAACACCAGUGGCGAAAGCGGCUGUCUGGUCUGUAACUGACGCUGAGGCUCGAAAGUAUGGGUAGCAACAGAUUAGAUACCCUGGUAGUCCAUACCGUAACGAUGAUGCUAGUGUGAGGUUUCGCCCUCAUGCUGCAGCUACGCAUAGCAUCCGCCUGGGAGUACGCGCAAGCUGAACUCAAGAAUUGACCGGG
rnacentral:rRNA from 2 species